UAUGCAGCGGCCUGGAAACCCUAGGAUGCCGUGCCAUAAAGGAGCAGGUAGUGCGUCCCUCUUUAUAGGGGCGUGGCCCUGUAUUCACAGCCGGCAAACGCUGCUACUUCCUCAGAACGCAUGAACCUGUAAUGGGGGAUGAACUGAGGGGGGCACGCAUAUAGGUUAGGGUACUCUCCUGAUCCUUCGGGGUUGGGGGGGCGUACCGGACAGUCGGCAACUGUGCAUGGCCCUCCGGGGCCGGCCUUUUGCCCAGCAAUGGACCUGACGAUACUGAAAGCGUGUUUGGGGCUGGUAUCCUGGGACCUUCACGUGGUGGCCCUGUUUAAACCAAUCUUACCAGGAUGUGCUUCCAGAAGGGUUACAUCUAAAAACAAGGUACAAGCUACCACGGAUGAGAAGCUUACUGGAGAGAAGAGGGAAAGUAGCGAUGAAACAACGAUUUCAGGGGAAUCCGAUCAUCCAAUCCAAGUUAUUUUGUUAUUGCAGUUUAACCCCCCCCCCUCCCCACUGGAGAUGAGAGGCUGUAGAGGAAUUUGUUGUGGUGACAAUGAAUCAUUCUAAUCAAAGUCAGUAUGGGCUCUGAGAAACACGCAGGAGACAAGAUCUGCCGCAGCCAUUGUUAGCAAGAACUACCAGUUUAAUAAGGUGGACCACUGAGCACGAUAGCCUUGCAUAGGAGAGCGUCACGAGUGGAUUUACAACUGACUGACCAAUCAACUUUCAUCGGAACUUUCUGAAGUAGUGGUGGUGGGAAAGCUAGGUUUUCAGAAACUUGCCGAUCAAGUGUGACACACGCAAGCUCCAUCUCCAAUUUCUUGCCACCACAGACGGAUGUUUCAGUGAAGUCGUUUUGCUCCAACCUCUCUGCCAUCUGCCAUGCGAUGGGCGCUAGAGCACAUCCCGUUGAAGAAGUCGGUAGCUAGGGGUGGAGGAGCAAAGUUCAAGUUAACAACGCUGAUGUUUAAUGGUAGCUACUAGAGAUCCUGGAUGCUGACUCUGCCUAGGUUUUCACAAUACCUGGACCUAAAAGAUGAGCUGCUUUUGAUGCUGAAAUGCACUGACACGGCACUACUUUGUGACAUCACACAUCACGUAAAUCCUCACCGUUUU